GAAGUUAGCGGCGGACGGGUGAGUAACACGUGGGUAACCUGCCCAUAAGACUGGGAUAACUCCGGGAAACCGGGGCUAAUACCGGAUAACAUUUUGAACUGCAUGGUUCGAAAUUGAAAGGCGGCUUCGGCUGUCACUUAUGGAUGGACCCGCGUCGCAUUAGCUAGUUGGUGAGGUAACGGCUCACCAAGGCAACGAUGCGUAGCCGACCUGAGAGGGUGAUCGGCCACACUGGGACUGAGACACGGCCCAGACUCCUACGGGAGGCAGCAGUAGGGAAUCUUCCGCAAUGGACGAAAGUCUGACGGAGCAACGCCGCGUGAGUGAUGAAGGCUUUCGGGUCGUAAAACUCUGUUGUUAGGGAAGAACAAGUGCUAGUUGAAUAAGCUGGCACCUUGACGGUACCUAACCAGAAAGCCACGGCUAACUACGUGCCAGCAGCCGCGGUAAUACGUAGGUGGCAAGCGUUAUCCGGAAUUAUUGGGCGUAAAGCGCGCGCAGGUGGUUUCUUAAGUCUGAUGUGAAAGCCCACGGCUCAACCGUGGAGGGUCAUUGGAAACUGGGAGACUUGAGUGCAGAAGAGGAAAGUGGAAUUCCAUGUGUAGCGGUGAAAUGCGUAGAGAUAUGGAGG
rnacentral:rRNA from 1 species